UGUGUCCCGCCAUGACAUUUUUAUCCCAAAUGACACAAGCCUCGAUAUCGGUAAAAUGACGUUGAAGUUGACGUCACUUAAUUAGAUAAUUGUUUUCAUUAAUUUGUUUUUAAAGCAACAGCCAUUAGUGUUAAAAUCAAUAACAUCGGACGAAGAUUUUUAAGUUUAAACGUUUCAAGAUUUAGUUAUCGCACUAGAUUCUAGUACUUAGUGAAAUAUCACAAAUGAGUGAAUUAGCGAAUUGUUUCCCUUUGAAAUCUACACGCCAUUAACGGUGUAUACAUGUGUGAAACUGGGUCAGAGAAAACAUGCAGUUAUUGCUCUGAAUAUAACUUACGCGGAUAUUUAAAGUGCAUGGAGGAUUUAUUGGUUGUUAUGGACAACCUCCAGCAGUAUGAGAUAUAAAUGUUCACUGCCGUUUUGACUAUGCUCAACAAGUACUAUACACAUACUAUGCUCAGCAAGUGGAGUUGCUGUCAGUUCUCAUGCAGGCUCUCAGAUUUUCUGCCUAGUGUAUGAAAAGUACAGCACUGCUGUUGGAAGAGGAGAAGUGUGGUAUCUAUGGUCCACCAUCACUUCAAGCAUUAUGGCUAUGGAUAAAAGAAGGUUUCAUUACAUAUGGACAGUUAUACUCCAGACAAAAUAAGAAGUGUUCUAAUAAGUUCUGGAAUGUGGCUUGUUACGAUGGGUCUACCUGAUUGACUUGGAGUACAACCUGAUGGGGGCUGGGCUUGCAGAAUUCAGUCCUGAACAUGUUUAGGUAUAUUUGGCUUGUCACCUCUUUAAGCAGUUUUUUUUUGUAAUAAUCAAGUAUUGAUAAAACUUGCUGCAGAGUUCAUGUCUGUAAAUAGGCCACUUAUAUUAAGAUGCCACAUCUUCUGUUUCUUUUUAUGUUGUUAAAGAGUGUCUAGCUCACUUCAAGCCAGUUCAACAGAAAUAACAUAAUUGUAAUACAGUAACUGUUUUUUUUCUUAACCAGGUUAAAGAACUAUUUGUUGAAUAAACUAUUUUCUGUUCUGUUCUGUUAAAACGAGAUCAAAAUCAUGGCCCUUACUUGAUGUAAAAUAUUUGCGAUAGUUGAAAUUUUUGAUGAAAAGAGGUUGUCAUUACUAUAAUAAAAUGUAAUUUAAUGUCUUAUGGACCGCUGUUGUUCAGGAUUGAAAAAAGGGUUAUUAGUGUUCUUUGUCUUAAAUAUUUGAUACAUUUAUCAUUACAGAAUGUGUUCUACAUGACCUAGUAUAGUAUUCUUGAAGGAUUAUAACUUCAACACAGAGACGGGGAUUAAUAUUUUAGGCAGAGGAUUGUCACUGAGCAAUGCAUCUUAA
rnacentral:lncRNA from 1 species